rfam:Ascaris suum AG00401, whole genome shotgun sequence.
CCAACGGCCCUCUUUAGGGCCACAAACAUAUACACCAAGUACUAC